CUACGGGCCGCUGCAGUGGGGAAUCUUGGACAAUGGGCGCAAGCCUGAUCCAGCCAUGCCGCGUGAGUGAUGAAGGCCUUAGGGUCAUGAAGCUCUUUCGCCAGAGAUGAUAAUGACAGUAUCUGGUAAAGAAACCCCGGCUAACUCCGUGCCAGCAGCCGCGGUAAUACGGGGGGGGUUAGCGUUGUUCGGAAUUACUGGGCGUAAAGCGCGCGUAGGCGGACUAGUCAGUCAGGGGUGAAAUCCCGGGGCUCAACCCCGGAACUGCCUUUGAUACUGCUAGUCUAGAGUUCGAGAGAGGUGAGUGGAAUUCCGAGUGUAGAGGUGAAAUUCGUAGAUAUUCGGAGGAACACCAGUGGCGAAGGCGGCUCACUGGCUCGAUACUGACGCUGAGGUGCGAAAGUGUGGGGAGCAAACAGGAUUAGAUACCCGGGUAGUC
rnacentral:rRNA from 1 species